GACGAACGCUGGCGGCGUGCCUAAUACAUGCAAGUAGAACGCUGAAGAGAGGAGCUUACUCUUCUUGGAUGAGUUGCGAACGGGUGAGUAACGCGUAGGUAACCUGCCUUGUAGCGGGGGAUAACUAUUGGAGACGAUAGCUAAUACCGCAUAACAAUGGAUGACACAUGUCAUUUAUUUGAAAGGGGCAAUUGCUCCACUACAAGAUGGACCUGCGUUGUAUUAGCUAGUAGGUGAGGUAAUGGCUCACCUAGGCGACGAUACAUAGCCGACCUGAGAGGGUGAUCGGCCACACUGGGACUGAGACACGGCCCAGACUCCUACGGGAGGCAGCAGUAGGGAAUCUUCGGCAAUGGGGGCAACCCUGACCGAGCAACGCCGCGUGAGUGAAGAAGGUUUUCGGAUCGUAAAGCUCUGUUGUAAGUCAAGAACGGGUGUGAGAGUGGAAAGUUCACACUGUGACGGUAGCUUACCAGAAAGGGACGGCUAACUACGUG
rnacentral:rRNA from 1 species